UCUUCUUAUCUUAAUCUUCUUAUUAGAAUUUUGAAUUUCUAGGUUAUGUUUGGUGAAGUAAGUGUAUUAUUGUGUACAUAAAGUUAUGUUAAAGUACGCAACCUAAACGUAAUUGAAUGUUUUUUUAUAAGCACAUACUAAAACAUUGAUAAGAGUUGAUGGCGUCAAAAUCCUGGAAAGAUUGGACGUACCCAGAUGAAGAUGAAAGACAAUUGCUAUUCAUUGAUUGAAUCAAUUGAAAUUUGUCUGGUGUUUGGUAGUGACUGGGAGGAAUGGCUGUAAUCCAUCGUGCCUUAUUCACCUGGUUCAUUUUUCUAUUGUUUCUCGUUCUUCUAGUUCUUCGGCUUGACUCAAGAAUUCAGUGGAACUGGUUUAUAGUAUUUUUUCCACUUUGGUUUUAUGACAUAAUGUUACUUCUAUGUAUUGUUUUUAACAUGCUAUCUCAGUGCAAAAGUGGCUUAGAUCGGUUCUCAAAUUCCAUUCAAAGGAAAAUUUGUUAUAUAAUCGCUAUAUCUCUCAAGAUAACAUCACAAAUUCUUUGCUGUCUAAGACUGGAAAUGUUUGAGCACAUGCCCAUGUUUUAUGUGUUUGCUCCUAUUUGGGUGCUGAUGCCUGUGUUGUUAACUGAUGUGUUUUUUAGUUUGAUAAAACCAAGUAGCAACAGAUAUUUAUGAAAACAGUAAACCUGUUGAACUAAUUUUAAGGUAAAUUAUAAUUGAUUAAAUAAACAAUUUAAAAAAUUUAUAUGUUUAACGUAAAAAAGUUUAUUAUAUAUAGUAGAACUCCAAUUAUCUGGUCACCUACUAUCCAAAUCGCUUCCAGAAAAAUCUUCAAAACCAAAAACUGCAGUAAAAAAGUGCACAAUAUUAUAAAACAUCAUUGUUUAAUAAGGCAAAAGCAAUGAUGACAGCAAAAUACUGGACAUCUCCUGCAGUCGUGUGGACAUAAACAAUGUGCGGGCAUCUGCUGCGUACAGUCGGAUGUGACGAAAGGGCUGCCUUGUGCAACAGCUACUGCAUAAAAUCACGUUAGAUAACAUAUUGCCCAAGAAGGCCGGAUAACCGAGACUCUACUGUACUUGGUGCUCAAUCACUUGAGCUUGAAGUGGGCUUGUCUAGUCUCGAAAAUCGAUCAGCUUGCACACCUCUACUAAACAACUUACACAGAACACUUGUAGUAUGUGUAAUAUUAUCUUUUAAAAUGUUCUAACUUAAUUUUACAAGUUAUCAUACCAUAUAUAGCAUAUAUAGCAUUUAUGUAUAUAUAUAUAGCAUAUAUGACUAGUGUCAUUUCUUGCUGUACGAUUCUAGUGUCAAUAUUCUUUUAUACAUUUUAGUAGGUUGUAUUAAUUCAAUGAAAAAUUUAUACAGUACCAAAAAUUAAGUAUUUUCCAUAAAAUACCCUCAACUUCGGUAAAAAUCCAUUAUACAGUAUCUGAAUAUGGUAUGGUCCCAUUGAUUCAAAUAAUUGGAGUUUUACUGUUGUAAGAAAAGUGCAAAGUUGUACUUAAAAAAAAAUAUGUUGAUCAUUAAUUUAAUCUUGCUCAUCAAGCUCCUGCUAGAACAAUAUCAAUGUUCUAAGUUUGAUAAUUUUAAUUUAUGUGUUCUUACAUUCCAAAAUGACCUGCACAAAUCAAGAUUUCUUAUUGUGAAAUGGUGUUUACUAAAACAAGAUUGGGAAAACCCAUCCCUAUUUAUACUUAUAGGCUACUAUUUAUAUUGAAUUGGCUGUUUUGUCAACAUUGGUAUUAUGUAACAUUUGGAAAUGUAAUAUAUAUAUUUAUAAA